AGAGGUGGCAAGCGUUGUUCGGAUUUAUUGGGUGUAAAGGGCAGGUAGGCGGUCAAGUAAGUCUGUUGUGAAAUCCCGGGGCUCAACCCCGGAACUGCAACGGAAACUACUUGGCUGGAGCAAUGUAGGGGUGAGGGGAAUUCUCGGUGUAAGGGUGAAAUCUGUAGAUAUCGAGAGGAACACCAAUGGCGAAGGCACCUCACUGGACAUUUGCUGACGCUGAGCUGCGAAAGUAGGGGGAGCAAACAGGAUUAGAUACCCUGGUAGUCCCUACCGUAAACGAUGUAGAUUAGGUGUCGGAGGAGUCGAACCCUUCGGUGCCGCAGUUAACACAUUAAAUCUACCACCUGGGGAGUACGGUCGCAAGACUG
rnacentral:rRNA from 1 species